CAGUCGAACGAACUCUGGUAUUGAUUGGUGCUUGCAUCAUGAUUUACAUUUGAGUGAGUGGCGAACUGGUGAGUAACACGUGGGAAACCUGCCCAGAAGCGGGGGAUAACACCUGGAAACAGAUGCUAAUACCGCAUAACAACUUGGACCGCAUGGUCCGAGCUUGAAAGAUGGCUUCGGCUAUCACUUUUGGAUGGUCCCGCGGCGUAUUAGCUAGAUGGUGGGGUAACGGCUCACCAUGGCAAUGAUACGUAGCCGACCUGAGAGGGUAAUCGGCCACAUUGGGACUGAGACACGGCCCAAACUCCUACGGGAGGCAGCAGUAGGGAAUCUUCCACAAUGGACGAAAGUCUGAUGGAGCAACGCCGCGUGAGUGAAGAAGGGUUUCGGCUCGUAAAACUCUGUUGUUAAAGAAGAACAUAUCUGAGAGUAACUGUUCAGGUAUUGACGGUAUUUAACCAGAAAGCCACGGCUAACUACGUGCCAGCAGCCGCGGUAAUACGUAGGUGGCAAGCGUUGUCCGGAUUUAUUGGGCGUAAAGCGAGCGCAGGCGGUUUUUUAAGUCUGAUGUGAAAGCCUUCGGCUCAACCGAAGAAGUGCAUCGGAAACUGGGAAACUUGAGUGCAGAAGAGGACAGUGGAACUCCAUGUGUAGCGGUGAAAUGCGUAGAUAUAUGGAAGAACACCAGUGGCGAAGGCGGCUGUCUGGUCUGUAACUGACGCUGAGGCUCGAAAGUAUGGGUAGCAAACAGGAUUAGAUACCCUGGUAGUCCAUACCGUAAACGAUGAAUGCUAAGUGUUGGAGGGUUUCCGCCCUUCAGUGCUGCAGCUAACGCAUUAAGCAUUCCGCCUGGGGAGUACGGCCGCAAGGCUGAAACUCAAAGGAAUUGACGGGGGCCCGCACAAGCGGUGGAGCAUGUGGUUUAAUUCGAAGCUACGCGAAGAACCUUACCAGGUCUUGACAUACUAUGCAAAUCUAAGAGAUUAGACGUUCCCUUCGGGGACAUGGAUACAGGUGGUGCAUGGUUGUCGUCAGCUCGUGUCGUGAGAUGUUGGGUUAAGUCCCGCAACGAGCGCAACCCUUAUUAUCAGUUGCCAGCAUUAAGUUGGGCACUCUGGUGAGACUGCCGGUGACAAACCGGAGGAAGGUGGGGAUGACGUCAAAUCAUCAUGCCCCUUAUGACCUGGGCUACACACGUGCUACAAUGGAUGGUACAACGAGUUGCGAACUCGCGAGAGUAAGCUAAUCUCUUAAAGCCAUUCUCAGUUCGGAUUGUAGGCUGCAACUCGCCUACAUGAAGUCGGAAUCGCUAGUAAUCGCGGAUCAGCAUGCCGCGGUGAAUACGUUCCCGGGCCUUGUACACACCGCCCGUCACACCAUGAGAGUUUGAACACCCAAAGUCGGUGGGGUAACCUUUUAGGAACCAGC
rnacentral:rRNA from 1 species